rnacentral:rRNA from 1 species
GUCGAGGGGCAGCGAGUAAAUUGCUUGCAAUUUAUGUCGGCGACCGGCGGACGGGUGCGUAACGCGUAUGCAACCUACCCAUUACAGGGGGAUAACACUGAGAAAUCGGUACUAAUACCCCAUAACAUCAGAGGAGGCAUCUCCUUUGGUUGAAAACUCCGGUGGUAAUGGAUGGGCAUGCGUUGUAUUAGUUAGUUGGUAAGGUAACGGCUUACCAAGACUACGAUACAUAGGGGGACUGAGAGGUUAACCCCCCACAUUGGUACUGAGACACGGACCAAACUCCUACGGGAGGCAGCAGUGAGGAAUAUUGGUCAAUGGACGCAAGUCUGAACCAGCCAUGCCGCGUGCAGGAAGACGGCUCUAUGAGUUGUAAACUGCUUUUGUACGAGGGUAAACGCAGAUACGUGUAUCUGUCUGAAAGUAUCGUACGAAUAAGGAUCGGCUAACUCCGUGCCAGCAGCCGCGGUAAUACGGAGGAUUCAAGCGUUAUCCGGAUUUAUUGGGUUUAAAGGGUGCGUAGGCGGUUGGAUAAGUUAGAGGUGAAAUCCCGGGGCUCAACUCCGGAAUUGCCUCUGAUACUGUUCGGCUAGAGAUCAGUUGCGGUAGGCGGAAUGUAUGGUGUAGCGGUGAAAUGCUUAGAGAUCAUACAGAACACCGAUUGCGAAGGCAGCUUACCAAGCUGAAUCUGACGUUGAGGCACGAAAGCGUGGGUAGCAAAC